rnacentral:rRNA from 1 species
GAUGAACGCUGGCGGCGUGCCUAAUACAUGCAAGUCGAGCGAAUGGAUUAAGAGCUUGCUCUUAUGAAGUUAGCGGCGGACGGGUGAGUAACACGUGGGUAACCUGCCCAUAAGACUGGGAUAACUCCGGGAAACCGGGGCUAAUACCGGAUAACAUUUUGAACCGCAUGGUUCGAAAUUGAAAGGCGGCUUCGGCUGUCACUUAUGGAUGGACCCGCGUCGCAUUAGCUAGUUGGUGAGGUAACGGCUCACCAAGGCAACGAUGCGUAGCCGACCUGGGAGGGUGAUGGGCCACACUGGGACUGAGACACGGCCCAGACUCCUACGGGAGGCAGCAGCAGGGAAUCUUCCGCAAUGGACGAAAGUCUGACGGAGCAACGCCGCGUGAGUGAUGAAGGCUUUCGGGUCGUAAAACUCUGUUGUUAGGGAAGAACAAGUGCUAGUUGAAUAAGCUGGCACCUUGACGGUACCUAACCGGAAAGCCACGGCUAACUACGUGCCAGCAGCCGCCGUAA